GCACUCGGUCUCUCGGGCUAUUUUGUGUGUUCCCAGCUGACAGCCCACAUUUCUCCGCCGCACGCCUUGGCCACAGGACACAGAGCACUAAAAGGACAAGAGGCCAUUUUGGAUAACACCUCAAGGCUCAACAUGGAAGGAAGGCAGCAAUGGAGAAAACAAUGUGGACAGCAUGACAGCAGGAAUCCUGUCUAGUACCUUGGGUCACUCAAGAACGACGGUAAAUCCUGGUAAUUUAGGCCAAAAAUGAAGCCCAUGAACCUGAAAUUACCAUGAAAUUCUGAUUUACAGAAGUCCUACUAUGAAUUAGUCAGGAUUCCUUUCGGACAUCUCACUUCAUGCAAUCGCUGAUUAAGACAUUUCUUCAACAAACUACCUCACAAUUCACUCUUUUGGAUAAAGAGGAGAAGCUCUCAUUUUCCCAGUCCAUUGGAAAGGAGGUGAAAAAGGCAUGUUAGAAACUGAAAGGUAAGCUAGCAGGUGGGUCAGUGCCAAGUUUGGGAGGGAGGCAUUACCUUUCAACUUUGAUCUGCAGGUUCACUGAACUGUUUUAAUGUGACCUUGUCUGACCACAUCUAAGAAACUUGACUUUGAUUUCAGAGUAGGUUUCUCAGUAAGGUUUAGGAAUCAAAGGGCUCAUGGCAUCAGGACAAAAAUUUGAUAUGACAGCUUCUUGUGGAAUAGGCAAGAGGCUGGCCCCCAUAAGUAUGCUGAGAUAUUCAACGUCCAUUGCCUCAUUAGCGAUUACAGAAGUCAUUACCACUUGGAUCAUAAGCUUGCUGGCUCCGGUUUUCAAGACACAUUAUUUCCCAAUAUGAUGUCCUUACAUGUCAGAGGGAAAUGAGCUUAAGAAUGAACAGCAAAAUGUGAAAACACAACAAAAAUAGAUUUCAAAUGUCAUUUCCUUCUACUCAAUGUUUCUAAUUUCCCCUGCUAACUCUGUGAUUUUGUUAACUUAAAUGGCCAAAGUACCCUUUUAUGCCUAAUAGGUAAAUAGCACCAUGUAAAACAUGUAGCCUAACAUAAAUUCAAACACUAUUACCAAGCAAGCUCAAAGUGAUCCCAUUCAUAAAUGUGUCAGACACGUUUUUCUAGUAAACAUAAACCAUUAUAAAAAUUCCAAUAGCAGCUGCUAGAGAUAUUUAAAAUAUGUAUGUUAAUAUGUUUGGCUAUAACUUUUUACUUUAGGAGACGGAAACGUUGUUUUGAGCUCUCAUCUUGUGAGUAUUAUGAUUUGGAGUAGUCAUUCUGGCACUCUUAAUAGAGUAUACAGUGUGGAAGGAAAGAGCCGAAUUUAAAUAUCUACACCGAAACAAAAAUAUCCAUCUUUCAACCUACAGUGUUUUGAUGUAUAUAAAGACUAUGGGCUAUAAUUCUAGAAGGCUUUUAGAAUGAACCUCCAAGAAGUAUACCUAUAAACCAAUUGUCUAAUGACUUACACACAGAUAAUCCCUAUUAUUAGUGACUAUUUUAAUAUUUAAAAAGGUUGGGCUUCCCUGGUGGCGCAGUGGUUGAGAAUCUACCUGCCAAUGCAGGGGACACGGGUUCGAGCCCUGGUCUGGAAAGAUCCCACAUGCCACGGAACAACUAGGUCCGUAAGCCACAACUACUGAGCCUGCGUGUCUGGAGCCUGUGCUCCGCAACAAGAGAGGCCGUGAUAGUGAGAGGCCCGCGCACCGUGAUGAGGAGUGGCCCCCGCUUGCCGCAACUAGAGAAAGCCCUCGCACAGAAACGAAGACCCAACACAGCCAAAAAUAAAAAUAAAGUAAUUAAUUAAUUAAAAAAAGAAAGAAAGAAAGAAUGAAAAUGUGAGCUAGAGACACUGGAAAAGUUUAAAAAAAAAAUGUUACUUCCACCAAAAAAUACAGGCAUAGUUAGAAUCUGAGGUGAGUUCAUUUGUUUAUUCAGCAAACAUUUACUGAGCACCUACUA